CCAGCGUUUACCCCAAACCCCUCCUGAUUUAAAAAAAAGAACCAACAAACAAGACAAACUGCAGCGAAAUGGCUGAAACAUGUUGUAACCAUCUGUGAAAUUCGGGCUCUCAUGACCCGAGAGAGGGGGGAGAAAGCGAGCGAGACAGCGAUUUGAGGAGGGGAAGAAAGCCCCAGCGAGAGCCAGGCGCGGGUAAGCGGCAGAACUGGCUCCGCAGCAGGAAGUGCAAGAGGCACGCACGGCUCGGCGCGGCGGCGGGAGAGCCUCUGUGGGGGAGUGACACUUCCAAGCUCACGGCUCCCCGGCCAUGCCUGCGUGCGGCUCGCUGCCUCUCCCCUGGGAAGCCGGGCGGCCUCUGCGUGAGCGGCGCGGAUAAAUAACUCAGGGGGAAGCCCGGUGUGGUUCCCAAACGGUGUGCCUCGUCGGGAAAGUCAUCCCUUGCUUUCAGCCCUCGGUCGCUUACUGUCAGUGCCAAAUGUUAAAUCAGCUGUGAUUCAGACUACUGAAGACAAUCACAUGAUGCGUGUAAGAACUAUAUAAAGAACAACAAAAAAAGGA